CCUACGGGGGGCUGCAGUGGGGAAUAUUGCACAAUGGGCGAAAGCCUGAUGCAGCGACGCCGCGUGAGCGAAGAAGGCCUUCGGGUCUGAAAGCCCUGUCCUAUGGGAAGAAAGAUGACGGUACCAUAGGAGGAAGCCCCGGCUAACUACGUGCCAGCAGCCGCGGUAAGACGUAGGGGGCGAGCGUUGUCCGGAAUGACUGGGCGUAAAGGGUACGUAGGCGGCUAGAUAAGUCAGAUGUGAAAGGCAUAGGCUUAACCUGUGUAAGCAGUUGAAACUGUCUAGCUUGAAUCAAGGAGAGUAAAGUGGAAUUCCUGGUGUUGCGGUGCAAUGCGUAGAUAUCAGGAGGAAUACCAGUGGCGAAGCCGACUUUCUGGCCUUAGCCUGACGCUGAGGUACGAAAGCGUGGGGAGCCAACAGGCUUAGAUACCCGGGUAGUC
rnacentral:rRNA from 1 species